GUUGAACGUGGAUAGUCGCUGCUUACCACUUUAUCCCCCAUUCUCGUUUUGUGAUUUCUCGUCUCAUUUUGUGAACUUGAUUCACUUUCUACUUAUUCAUCGUUCUUGGUAAUGGCAGAUGUACUUCAAACGAUGUCGCAAAAUAAUCCUUGGCGCGUUAUUGGAAACGUGCGCAAGAAGUAUACUAUAUUACGCGGCCCAAUAAAGAUUCGUGAUUUGUGCACAGACCCACAUGACGAAACCUUUGUUGAUAAAGUAGUUACUGUUUGUUGUUGUUUACUUAAUGCAAUGCCAAGUGUUGUACCUCCUACUUAAAUACCAACGAAUAAAUGAAGUCAUGGUGAUGAAAACUA